rnacentral:rRNA from 1 species
AUUGAACGCUGGCGGCAGGCCUAACACAUGCAAGUCGAACGGUAGCACAGAGGAGCUUGCUCCUUGGGUGACGAGUGGCGGACGGGUGAGUAAUGUCUGGGAAACUGCCCGAUGGAGGGGGAUAACUACUGGAAACGGUAGCUAAUACCGCAUAACGUCGCAAGACCAAAGAGGGGGACCUUCGGUCCUCUUGCCAUCGGAUGUGCCCAGAUGGGAUUAGCUAGUAGGUGGGGUAACGGCUCACCUAGGCGACGAUCCCUAGCUGGUCUGAGAGGAUGACCAGCCACACUGGAACUGAGACACGGUCCAGACUCCUACGGGAGGCAGCAGUGGGGAAUAUUGCACAAUGGGCGCAAGCCUGAUGCAGCCAUGCCGCGUGUAUGAAGAAGGCCUUCGGGUUGUAAAGUACUUUCAGCGAGGAGGAAGGUGUUGUGGUUAAUAACCGCAGCAAUUGACGUUACUCGCAGAAGAAGCACCGGCUAACUCCGUGCCAGCCGCCGCCGUAA